rnacentral:rRNA from 1 species
GUGAGGAAUCUUGCGCAAUGGGGGAAACCCUGACGCAGCGACGCCGCGUGCGGGAAGAAGGCCUUCGGGUCGUAAACCGCUUUUCUGGAGGACGAGGAAGGACGGUACUCCAGGAAUAAGUCCCGGCUAACUACGUGCCAGCAGCCGCGGUAAAACGUAGGGGGCGAGCGUUAUCCGGAAUCACUGGGCGUAAAGGGCGUCUAGGCGGCAGCCUAAGUCCUGCGUGAAAGCUCCCGGCUCAACUGGGAGAGCGCGUGGGAGACUGGGCUGCUAGAGACUCGGAGAGGGGUGUGGAAUUCCCGGUGGAGUGGUGAAAUGCGUUGAGAUCGGGAGGAACACCAGUGGCGAAGGCGGCACCCUGGCCGAGGUCUGACGCUGAAGCGCGACAGCGUGGGGAGCGAACGGGAUUAGAUACCCGGGUAGUCC